AAUCAGCGUCAUCUUCGUGUAGGGUUUAUGGCCGAAACACCAGAUUCCGACACUCAGUCUCUGAAAAUUUUACACUCUAACUAAUUUCUGCAUUUUUGAUUCAAUUCAAUGCAAUGAUGAAAAACAGAAAUCACGAGUAGCUUCGUUUCUUCCACCACCAUCACCGUCAGCAAUGAGGUAUUUGCGGUUGAUUCACCUGUCACAUCUCCGUAAAACCCUAACCCAAAACCCUAACUUCACUUCUCCACCGAUUUCAAGACCCUACGUCUUACCCAAUCAUUGGUCAAACUCAAAAACCAUAUCUCGUUAUGUUUUCGCGCAUGAUUACAGCAGUGAUUCGCAGCAAGAUUCGAAGGUUGCUGCGAUUGUCGACGAGCUCAUGGGCUUGACGCUGCUGGAAGUGAUGGAUCUCGUCGAAGUGAUGCGCGAGAAGAAGGGCAUCAAUGAGCUUCCGAUCAUGAUGCUGAUGGUGCCAGGAAUGGGGGUUGCAGGGUUGAGGGGUUUGCCGAAGGGUGUUCCGAAGGGCGGAGUCGGUGGCGGAGAAGAAGAGAAGAAGGCUGAGAAGACGGCGUUUGAUGUGAAGCUUGAUGCUUUUGAUGCUGCAUCGAAGAUCAAGGUCAUCAAGGAAGUGAGAACGUUUACCAGCUUGGGGUUGAAGGAGGCCAAGGAUUUGGUUGAGAAAGUGCCCACCCUUUUGAAGAAAGGUGUGACCAAGGAGGAGGCAGAGACUAUUAUUGCCAAGAUGAAGGAGGUUGGCGGGAAAGCCUCAAUGGAAUAAGGGGAGGAAAGGAAAAGAAGUUUUGGGUGCAGCACUUUCCUAACGACAACCCAAGUUUGAAGCUCUUAGGUUCGGUUGGAUUAAAUUAUCCUUCCUUUAGACAAAUUACUGUGGGGAAAGGAGAGGAUGAAGAGCAAGACAUGGUGUAAAGUUUUUUCAUUGGGAUCAAGUGUAACAGCUAGUGCCUCACACUCAAGUUCUCAUCGCCAGGUGAUGGAAGUCAAUGAAGGUCUUGUCAUAAGGCAAAGGUUUUAUACGUUAUUGUAUUUGAAAACUUUGCUGAGUACAUUAUGCUUUUACCUCCCUGCCUUUUUCAUAGUUAUUUCUCCCUUGUAUCAGGCUCUUUUUGACUUUGAAUUUUCUUGAUCAUUUCUUAACCAAUGUUGUAGAAUUGGAUGAUGACGGUGUAAUAAAUUUUGAACUGACGUUCACAUGCUAUAUUUGCUGGUAAAGUUUUAGACCCAACUAGUUGUCAAUCG